GAGGGUACAAUUCCUAGGAAAUCUCAAACUUGAUCUCUCAAUUCCCUCUUGUGUUGCACUCAGGACUCCUCGUCAGGAGCUAAUCUACAUCCCUUUCACGUCGAUUCACUUGGAGGAGACUUAAGUCACCAUUGCAGAAAGCUUCAAAAGAUAAGUUGAAGAAGAUUCUCUUUCCUCCUCUUUCUUUUCACGUUCAUAUUAAUAUUUAUCCAAAUAGUAUAGAUGUUCUUUCAUCAAAAUCAUGUUGCCUCUAUACGUACAAGUUAAUUGUACCAAACUGGAUAGCUCACACCUUUUUGUUAUUAUUCAG
rnacentral:lncRNA from 1 species